CUACGUGCCAGCAGCCGCGGUAAUACGUAGGGGGCAAGCGUUAUCCGGAUUCAUUGGGCGUAAAGCGCUCGUAGGCGGUCUGUUAGGUCGGGAGUUAAAUCCGGGGGCUCAACCCCCGUUCGCUCCCGAUACCGGCAGACUUGAGUUUGGUAGGGGAAGGUGGAAUUCCUAGUGUAGCGGUGGAAUGCGCAGAUAUUAGGAAGAACACCAGUGGCGAAGGCGGCCUUCUGGGCCAUAACUGACGCUGAGGAGCGAAAGCUAGGGGAGCAAACAGGAUUAGAUACCCUGGUAGUCCUAGCCGUAAACGAUGGACACUAGGUGUGGGGGAAUAUUUCUUCCGUGCCGCAGCUAACGCAUUAAGUGUCCCGCCUGGGGAGUACGGCCGCAAGGCUAAAACUCAAAGGAAUUGACGGGGGCCCGCACAAGCAGCGGAGCAUGUGGUUUAAUUCGAAGCAACGCGAAGAACCUUACCAGGGCUUG
rnacentral:rRNA from 1 species